CUGAUGAUUAAGACUACCAAAAUUUUCGCUUCAAUAUGAAAAAAUUCGGCUUACGUGCAUUCAACAGAAUCUAUAAUCACGUUAUUCAAACAAAGAUCUUAUAGCUGGAUCUUGUUUGCAAUUGAAAAACUUACCGACUUUUGCAAUCUAUCUAGCGAUUAGCAGCAUUCUUUCCUAGAUUUUUGUAGAUUUUGUAAGAGAUACGAAAAACGUACAUAUUUAAACCAUGAACAUGCUUUAGUAGUUCAAAUACAAAAUAAUUAUUAAUGCGUGACAUAAAAAACAGUUCAUACCGGAAGAGUUAAUAUACAGUAGUUAAAAACGAUAAUAUUUCAAUCUGCAGUUUUUCGCAGAAGAUAGAAACUCGCAUAUCGAAUUUACACGUAUACGAAUACACGGAACUUUAUUACGAACAGUUCGAUCUACUUGUCGAAUGGAGGGUCUCGAUAAGAGGUGGUCGGCUCGAAGCAUCGGAGAGCCACCGUCACGGUCACUGGCGGCAGCUUUCGACGUACAAACUUCCGAGUUUAACGGUGAAGUUACAAACGGCUCAGUCGGUGAACGAAUUUCUGGAACGCGCGGCGGCACGCUCGCGCAUCAUCCUCCUUUGCUGGAAUUCCAAGAAAGCUCGCGCGAUAUGCAACACGCCCCGAAGAAGAACGUUUCGUUCGAAAUCUUGCUGGACGAUCAAUAUCGACCGACUAAAAGAGGGAACGAACGAUGGAAAAUGGAGGAACAAGAAGAAGAAGAAGAAGAAGAAGAAAAGGAAGAAGAAGAAGAAAAAGAAGGGGAGGAGGAAAUAAAAAACGAAGGAGAAGAAAAUGAAGAAGAUCAUGGGCGCAUCGGGCACGAAUUAUCGACGUGGUUCGAUUUACUGGCUCGAACCAACCGACGCGACGUAGUCUCCGUGGUCAGUGAAAGACACGAGGGCGAUCAGGGAAAAGGAAGACGCGGGAGAGGGUCAGAAAGAAACUCUGGACGCCAGCUGGAAGGGAGAACCGCGAUCGUUCGAUGCCAUAGUGGGGCGUCAGAUCGGUUGUACGCGUGGAAAAUGGGACUGGUUUUUAUCGGAAUCGCCUGGUGCACCUCCUGCGGGAGGUAUGCCUUAAUGUUUAAUGCAGGCCCCUAUUGGAAUUGCGCGUGUACCACGUAUAACGAAAGCUGGCUCUUCGGAUCGCGUCCUCCGCGUCGACGUCCGCGAGUCUGACAUAGCUGAGGUCGCGGCAUCCCAGACUCGCCCAGUAUCCUGUCCACAUUUCCUUGGACGUCUAGUCGCGUGACUCUCUCCGCGAUAUUUAUUAAUAGAAUAAUUUCGAGCGUUGCGCCUCUUGGAUAAAUAACGCUCCCCUUUCGCCGCCGGUUCUAGCCAAGGAGGCACGAGCGCACGCGAUCGCCUCGUAGAUUCUGCCCGUUGACGGCUCGCUCCAAGGAACGCAAACACCGCGACUAUGUUUCGCGGAUAAUUCCAGGGGCACGCUGAGUUUUCAGUGGAGUUGCUUAUCGUUAUACACAUUUAUGUUUAAGAGAUUAACGGCCAUGGGUGAUUGCGAGUUAUUAUUGCUAGGUUUAAUAGCAGUGACGGUUUCUUCUGGAAAAUUUAAGAGAGGUUUUAGUUUCUCUCCCUCUUAGAAAAGAGAAUAUUUUGAAGAUAUUAGAAGAUUUCGAAGUAAUAACGUAAUAAUAGUAUUAUUAUAUGUAGGUAUAGUCUUUUGAAGAUCGGUGCAGUAAAUGCCAUGCAAACGAAGUAGAAUAGGUACAAUAGUAGGACGUAGAGUAAGACGAGUAUAAGUAGAAUAGGUCAACGAGGUUUACUAGGUAUGUUCAUAACUAAGAUUUGUAACUUUGCUCAAGUAAUCGUACAGCAUAUGGCACACCAAUAUUUUACUACCAAUUUAUCUAUCGUAGUAUCGGUAAUGUUGUACCAUGAAAUCCAUCCACAUGCCAUCAUCGUAUCGAUGCACUCAACUAAUCAGAAUCUCUAAAAUUCUAACACAUACAGCACAGCCGACAGAAAUUACGUAUAAAAGAACGUAAAACGUAGCAAGCUACUACUUGAUCGACGCUCGAUAAUGAAAGACACCGUAAUAUUAUACUACCAAUUUAUCUCUUCUACCAUCUCAUUUCUAACUAUCCUCAAACACGCCACAAUCACAUCUACUUUAACCAAAAAUUCUAACAUGUUCGGUAGGCAUAAAGCGAAAGAACGGUUAAAAGAAGAAACAAAGAGAGGAACGAUUACGCGUAGCUACCCUUCCGUGGCUCGAACACGCCUUCUGCCUCUUUCUCGAGGAGGAACUCGCGCGGAACCGCUCGGAAGAUCGGCCGAUAACGGGUGCAGCCCCUGUGCGAUGCCUUCGGAGUUGCAGAGCAAUACGCGCGUCCCGCUUUAUUGCGGAACGCCUCGUUAAUAAAGCGGCGAUCUUUUUUUAAGAACGGCGCAGCUCGCGAGCCGGCAAGCGGCGGGGCACGAGCGAUCGAGGAAGCGGGAACGGGAUGACCGAAUCCGGGAUGCGUUCUUCGCUCGAGAUCGCGCCGAUAACGUGUUGCAUUAUUAAUCGAUCCACUGCGGAAGAGCGAUGCAGGGAGAUCGAUAAAAUUAAUUUUCUGAACCGUACGCGUGGAGGGCAACGCGAACGCUCGCACCCGAAUCGCACGCGAUCCUCGCGAGUCCGAUCGAUCACGCAACGAUUUUUGGUGUUUUCGUUAUCCGUACAGUCGUUGAGAUUUUGUUCCGUCAUGCGUGCAUUGGGUGUUGCGAUUAAUGUUUCAGAGGAACGUGCCUGGGGACGACGAGUUCAAGUAUAGUUCUGUAAGUAUUUCUCAAUCAAGAGUCUUCACUUUUUGAUCGAUCAAGCUAUAGUUUCAUGAAUUUUGUACUUUUAUCUUCAUAUAAUUACAAUUCAUAUGAAACGAGACUAAUUCGUGUGAAUUAGGUGUAGGCCGUGUCCAAUAGAAAUUAUAUUUCAAAUUUGAGACGAUGAGUAUCUUCGGAUUUCAGAGACGUGUAUCUUCCUUUAACUUUCGUUUAAAAUGAUAAGUUCCUUUUCGGUAACUGUUUCUAAAAUGUAAGAACAGUGCACGUAUUUUAAACAAAAUUAUUAAAUAAGGAAAUUUGAUAACAAGAAUAUUAACAAAAAAAAUUCCUAGUACAAAGCAAACGAAUGUAUGCGUAAACUAUCUCGGCCAGUCUACUCCAAACUUUCACAAACAUAAAAAUUCCCAUGUUCCAUCCCUUCAACUAGGCAAACACCAUCUCUCAAAACCUCUAUUCUUUGUCUCAGCAAUUAGAAAAAUUCACGAUACAACAAAAUGAUAAGUUUACCGGAGGCCAAUAGGGACAUGGACGAAGCCGAGUGCCGGUUCUGCUCCCGGUGUAUUCCGGAUCCAGAGGGUCUCGGCGCGCAGCGGAAAAGAAGGGAGGCCAUCAGCGUGGAGCGUGGUGGGGUGGGGGAGGUAGACAGGGGGAUCACAUACUCGUUGGCCCACUACUUGUACCCCCGCGAUACGCGUUCCGCAUUGAUAUUAUUUCAUUAACUUUUUGCCGGUCGCCUCGCUUGUUGGAAUAGUGGUCUCGUCGGUCGGCAAUCUCCUCCUACGGUUACUCCACCUUCUUCGGCCUCCCUCUGACUACUCUUCGAUCUCCUGCUCCGCUUCUCGUGGUCUCUCGCCGACUGAAACAGCCGAGAGAAGCCAAGGAGCAUCACCAGUAUCGCUCCUCUUUCAUCCUUUUGCUGGAUUCGAGACCGUACACCUGCUACCACCGCCUCCUCGCUAGAUGUCCCGAAACCGUUCUUCCUGUGUUUCUUUCCGUGAAGGAAUCUCGGUCCGACGCGACGCGGACCCGUUCCUCUUCCAUUAGCCGCUGAUAAUUGCCCGGACUUAAUUGGGGCGUUGUGCACCGUCACGGACGAAAUCGGGGAGGAUGCUAACCUGGAAACUCGCAGGUUUCUUCUGGCCUUUGGGGAAUCGUAGUUUUUGCCCAUUUGCGAGAACUCUUUUCAUUCUCGUCUUGCUUUUUUUUUCUUUUUAGUAGGGCGUUGCAUGAUAGCGGAUCGAUAGUGGUAUUUUUGGACCUGUGUUUUAGGUUUCAGUGUUAUCUUUUACUUUCUUUUUGUUACAUUGUCUAUAGUGGUAUAAUGUAUCGAGGGAUAGAUGAAAUGAUACAAACACCUAAUUUAAGACCUUGCUUUAACGAGUUCUUGCCGAAAGUGGAAUUCAUUAACGUGUCUCCUCAGAGGCUUUUGACUGCACAAGUAUCUAGUUCGAUCUACAAAUAAACCACGAAUCUGACAUAAUCAAAAGGCAAAGUUAAAGGAUAAUAUUAUAUCCGUGUCUUCUACGUUUGAUCCACACAGCAUAUUACUAAUCUUCAGCUUCGCAAUCCAAGAGGUCGGUGAACCAGAAAAUUAUUUCUACCUGCACUACCUCCCAUCUCGAACACCAAAUUUCGCAAAAGACAAUGACUCCGAAGAAUUUCAUGCGAGCGAAGAUCACGCGGCGCGAUUUCGUAGCUCGCGAAGUUCCAAAAUUUACCGAGAAGACCAUCCAGAAUUCGAGUCUGCUAGGGAGUCGGCAUUUCAAGCGCAUAUCCGCUUCAACUCGACUGUCCGUCCUCUCGUGUGUCGCUUUCCGCUCGCGCCUCUGCCGGGAUUUAUGGGGAUUUACACGAAUUUAUGUGCGUCCAGGGGACAUGACGUAUCCCUUUGGCCCGCUGGUCGCGCGCGCGCACUGGUACCAACACGAGGAACCAAGCGAACCAACGUUCCUGCCGGUUCGACCGGCGAUCCAUCAUCGUAAAAAGUGUUUCUCUCCUCCUCGCGUUGCGGCACCGCUUGUGUAGAUCUGGCUGGUCACGAGUCGACGGUUCGUCUGGGUCGUCGACGAUCAUCCGCCGAUCGAUCGAUCGAUCGUAUCGCGUCGGUCAGAUCGCGUCGUUUGCUUCUUAGAGAAUACUUUCGAGAAUUCGGAGGCAGUGUUUCCCUUCUUUGGAUCUCGAUAAUUAUCAUGAACUUUGGAACGAAGAAAUGAAGUUGUUAUUGAUUAUGUGGGAAUACGCGUACCCAAUGGAAUGUUUGGGUGAAGACGAUCAAACAAGUUGAGGGGAUUUAAACGUUGGAUUUCAUUAAUAGUAAUAGCAAAGUAGUGGAAACGAAGUAAUAGCAAAAUACGGAUUGUGAAGUACUUGAAGAUAAAGUAACUUGUGUCAAGAAUAUCAUUGAAUAAACAUGAUGUACAUGGAUCAUUUAACACGUUAUAGUUGUAAUAGUCGCUCUCCUUUUUUCACGGUCCAAUUGCAACCUCAAAUGAAAAAAUGUCGAUAUCCUUUCAUCGCUGAUCCUAAACGAUAUAUCCAUGAAUUCCAACAAUAUUGCUUGGGAAAUUAGAAAAGAAACAAUUGUAAAAAUCACAAUAAAUUACGAAUCAUACAAGUUCGUAAUAUUUUAUAGCAACUCUCUGAAAAAUCACGGCUAAGAAGGUAAGUGUAAAAUUUGAUUGAAAUCGAUAUCUUAACGUUCUUUCAGACUCAACCAAAUUUUUCCUACUGUCAUCAGAAGUUUCUACACGCUGCAGCGAAUUCGCGGAUUUAUUGUUGCGAUCGUAAAACUGUCAGCCGAUUCGCCUACGGGUAAAUCACUCGAGGCGAUGAUCGAAGAAGAGAGAAGAGGAAAGAGAUCUAUCGGCGGCAACCGUGGCCCUUGAACGCGUGUCUCGUAAAACAGCCACCAUCGAAUGCUAAUGGCGGGUAGCGUGGUUUUUAUAGGGUCGAUAAUUUGGCCGAGGUCGAAGGUCGAAAACUCGCUACGAGGAUAUACGAAGUGUGAAAUAUAUUUAAACAACCCUCGUGACCGGUACUUGCUGCUGCCGAUUAUUUAUCUCCCUUCCUUCCUCUAUCUUUUCUUCUUGAAAAUAUUCCCGAGAAAUUUAUUUUCGUCAGCGAGGAAAAUCUCGUUAUUAAUUCAAUGAACGAUGCUCUCUGGGUCGAUGGACAAGACGAUCGUAUUAUAUUCUCACGUUCUUGAAACCUACUUCGGCACAGAGGAGAUUUCUCGCGAUAGCGCCGUGGAAACGACACAAUUGAUUGUGGAAUCUGUUGGAUUGGUAACCGUAAUUCGUUUAGAUAGCGAGAUCCGGUUGCUUAUAGUUUGAAGAGGGUUCUUAAAGAGCUUAACUUUCGGAAACCGUUUUUGGAUAACGGAGAGGUUUUGGACAACGGGAAGUCGACCGGCUCGAAAUACGUAAUCAGCUGUUCCGAAAUGCACAUCCGCUCAUCCGGUGGAGCGUGCGAACAUUUUCGCAGAAACGAGGUCGAUGCUUCGAACAGGCAACGGUAGAAUCCGUAAUAUCGAUCUAUUUGAUACGACUCGCAAAUAUCGUAUAUUUUAUCUCACGUUAGUAUAACUUACCAUCAAUUUCGAGCAUAAGUUAGUAAGACAAAAGAUCUCUAAAAAUCUUCGCAACUGCCCAAGUUUCGGUUUCUUCAAUGUACCGCGGAAAUUUCCAAAUUUAACAAAGAAUCAAAAGUAUAGUUGUAUUCAGCUAUAGUAAGUACGAUUCGGCACAUUAUCCGGCCGAUCGUCGAAAGAGGUAUAUUUCUAGGAAAUUUCGAACUUCUGUCUUCUGCAUCGAGUGUAGGAUACGGAUAUCUAGUAUAUUUGUUUUUUUUUUUUUGUCGAGGUUGACUGAUAGAAUAACGAAUGGAUGAAUUUGUAGUAGAGAAAUAUAUUGAAAUAAAUAAAGGUAUAAGUAUAAGUAUAGUGUAAGCUGAUCCAGAUCCUCACUCUGACAGUGUUACAAUACAAUAGAAGAAGCUAUGAUAGCGAGCACGUUCAUAUAUUUAUAGCAAAGGACAUUACCAAAAGGUUAACCUUGUAGCUCUAGCUGCAGGCCACAAAAACAGCAAUAGAAAUCUACUUAUAGCUCUUUUGUUUCUAGAUCUUGUAAACCAAAACAUAAUUUAUAUUCAAGGGCACAAUAAUAUGGACCUCUUUUUAUUUCGAAUUAUUUUUUUGUUUCAUUAAAUUCUAUUCUCUUCGUAACAGCGGUCUUCAGGUCACGGAUAUACGAAAGUAAAGAUGUAUAGUUUUUCUUGAAGUAAUUUUACAUACUGAAAGCUCACUCCACGAAGUGAAUUUCAAGAACUGGCAGGAAUCGAACGCCAACCAACUAACGAAGUAAAAUGCCAGUCUAACCGUUGCAAGUGGAAAUGGACAGAAAGAAACAGACAAGCCCCACUAAAUAUUUAGUCUGCCUCAAAUUCGGUAGAAGCUGAGGUACACGCCGGACGCAGUAGAAAAAGAAACGAAAGAGCAGACCUCCAAGACGAGCGUGUGCGCGGCGCGGCGUGAAGGAAUUCGCGACGAGGAAGAGGUCGCGAGCCGAGGGCAGCCCGGAAACGCGAUAUAUCCCGAGGGCUGUCUCUCUUGGUUCUCGCUUGAUAUCGGCCUGGGCCACCAAUAUGCGGCCUUUCCGGCUCGCGGGAACUUUGCGAAACUGCGCAAGCACGCCGCGCAAUUUGAUUCGGGGUGGCCCGGCUCUUUUCUCUUGGACUUACCAACAUACGUACGCUUCUCGUAACGGUACGCUCUUGAACCUCGGGCCGAGGUAAUUGGGUCCGUCUACAGCCACUUCCGGUUCAGCCGCUCGCUCAGAAUCGGUACUUCAUCAGGUACGAGAAUCACGUCCACCGAUACUCUUUCUUCCGCUACCUGGAAACGUAAUAUUGAUGCAACAGGUUGAUGAUAAUAAUUUGGACGAUAUAUUGAUUGACCCAAGUGUUCUUUUGUGAUUGAUUUAUUUGAUUAUAUUCAGUGUAUUAUACAAUUUGGUAAGAUUCGAAGAGAAUUAUUUAUUACGUAGGUACUUUCGCAAAAUGAUACAUAAUUGGUUAUGGUAUGUAUUUUAAUUUGAACAUUUAUUAUGGAAGAAUUUUAAGAAUGUAUUGUGUGUGUUAUGCGAAAUUUUUGGAAAUUUCAUUGACACUAUAUACAGGAUGGUUGGUAACUGGUGGUACAAGCGGAAAGGGGGUGAUUCUACGCGAGAAAGAAAUCGAAAAUAUAGAAUAAAAAUUUUUCGUUUGAGGCUUUGUUUUCGAGAAAAUCGACUUUGAAUUUUCGUUCGGUAAGCGUGCACUUUAUCACGUCUCGUUAUAAC